rnacentral:rRNA from 3 species
ACUUUCAACAACGGAUCUCUUGGUUCUGGCAUCGAUGAAGAACGCAGCGAAAUGCGAUACGUAAUGUGAAUUGCAGAAUUCCGUGAAUCAUCGAAUCUUUGAACGCACAUUGCGCCCGCCAGCAUUCUGGCGGGCAUGCCUGUUCGAGCGUCAUUUC